UUUUAUAAAUUAAGACUAGAAUGAAUGGAUUUUUGAAGCAAAUCUUUCUUAAAUUUAUUAUUAAAAAUAAUUUUUUUAGUGAAGAAACUAAAAUAUUAUUGAGGGACGAAAAGACCCUAUUAAGCUUUAUAUAAUUAUUUUGUUGGGGAAACAGAAGAAUAUAACUUCUUUAAAUUUAUUUUUGAUAAAAGAAUUAUUAUUAAUAAUAACAGAUUAAGUUACUAUAGGGAUAACAGCAUAAUAAUUUUUAUAAGUUCUUAUUAACAAAAAUAAUUAUGACCUCGAUGUUGGAUUAUUAAUAUUAAUUGGUGUAAUCAUCAUUUAAAUUAGUCUGUUCGACUAUUAAAAUUUUA
rnacentral:rRNA from 1 species